rnacentral:rRNA from 1 species
GUUGCGGUUAAAAAGCUCGUAGUUGGAUCUCGGUUUCACUCAGGUGGUACACCUUGCGGUGUUCACUAUCUGGGUGGACGUUUCUGUUGGUUCGCUCUUGGUGCUCUUCAUCGGGUGCCAUUUGGUGGCCAGCACGUUUACUUUAAAAAAAUUGGAGUGCUCAAAGCAGGCGUUACAGCCUGAACAUUAGUGCAUGGAAUAAUGGAAUAGGAUCUCGAUUCUAUUUCGUUGGCUUUCGGAGUCGAGGUAAUGAUUAAUAGGGACAGACGGGGGCAUUCGUACUGCGACGUUAGAGGUGAAAUUCUUGGAUCGUCGCAAGACGAACUACUGCGAAAGCAUUUGCCAAGAAUGUUUUCAUUAAUCAAGAACGAAAGUUAGAGGUUCGAAGGCGAUCAGAUACCGCCCUAGUUCUAACCAUAAACGAUGCCAACCGGCGAUCCGUCGUCGUUAAUUGAAUGACUCGACGGGCAGCCUCCGGGAAACCAGAGUGUUUGGGUUCCGGGGGAAGUAUGGUUGCAAAGCUGAAACUUAAAGGAAUUGACGGAAGGGCACCACCAGGAGUGGAGCCUGCGGCUUAAUUUGACUCAACACGGGAAAUCUCACCAGGCCCGGACACCGGAAGGAUUGACAGAUUGAGAGCUCUUUCUUGAUUCGGUGGGUGGUGGUGCAUGGCCGUUCUUAGUUGGUGGAGCGAUUUGUCUGGUUAAUUCCGAUAACGAACGAGACUCUGGCCUACUAACUAGAAGGUCUAUCCUUUAUGGGUAGGCCUCUGCUUCUUAGAGGGACGGGCGGCGUUUAGCCGCACGAGAAUGAGCAAUAACAGGUCUGUGAUGCCCUUAGAUGUUCUGGGCUGCACGCGCGCUACACUGAAGGAAUCAGCAUGUUCUCCCCUCCCUGAAAAGGGCGGGUAACCCGUUGAAACUCCUUCGUGAUGGGGAUUGGAGAUUGUAAUUAUUCUCCAUGAACGAGGAAUUCCCAGUAGGCGCGAGUCAUCAGCUUGCGUCGAUUACGUCCCUGCCCUUUGUACACACCGCCCGUCGCUACUACCGAUCGAGUGAUUUAGUGAGGACUUCGGACUGGUCUUCAAGUUGGCUUCGGUCGGCUCGAAGUUCCGGAAAGAUGCCCAAACUUGAUCACUUAGAGGAAGUAAAAGUCGUAACAAGGUUUCCGUAGGUGAACCUGCGGAAG